GACAGACAAAGGCUGGGAGCUGGAACCUUCUGAAGGCUCAUUCACUUGCAUGUCUGUCAUGAAGCUUCAGGGCAGCUCCAGCUGAUGCCAGGCUACUGGGUGAAUAUAACACAGGAGAUAUUUCUUCAGAGCCUCUGGGAAGCUAGAGAAAGAAAGAAUAAUUGAAGUGGUCCAGAAGGAAGAGAAACAUGUGACAGGCUAUGCCUGGUACCUCCAGACCAGAGGAGAGAACUCGGGAAAGCAGCAGGCAGCCCAGAAUGGCGAUGGGAAGAUCCAGAGGCAGCAAAGGCUUCUCUCCGCCAUGUGAAAGGCCUGAGUUUAGAUACCUCAGGGAAGUUUUAAUGCCAACCUUCUGUAAAACCCCCAUUCUCUAACGUAUGGCUUUAAUUAACAAUCAUGUAUCAUUAUUGGUUUGUUAAUCAUAGCAAAUGGACCAUACUCCUGUAAGAUGUUAUCAACAGGAAAAAUUGAGGGAGAGGUAUAUGAAGCUCUGCACUAUCCUUGCAAUUAUUCUGUAAAUCUAAAACUGUUGUAAAAAAAAAUAAAGUUGGGG